AUUGAACGCUGGCGGCAGGCCUAACACAUGCAAGUCGAGCGGGGUUUUCGGACCUAGCGGCGGACGGGUGAGUAAUGCGUAGGAAGCUACCCGAUAGAGGGGGAUACCAGUUGGAAACGGCUGUUAAUACCGCAUAAUGUCUACGGACCAAAGUGUGGGACCUUCGGGCCACAUGCUAUCGGAUGCGCCUACGUGGGAUUAGCUAGUUGGUGGGGCAAUGGCUCACCAAGGCGACGAUCCCUAGCUGGUUUGAGAGGAUGAUCAGCCACACUGGAACUGAGACACGGUCCAGACUCCUACGGGAGGCAGCAGUGGGGAAUAUUGGACAAUGGGCGCAAGCCUGAUCCAGCCAUGCCGCGUGUGUGAAGAAGGCCUUCGGGUUGUAAGGCACUUUCAGUAGGGAGGAAGGGUGUUGUGUUAAUAGCACAGCAUUUUGACGUUACCUACAGAAGAAGCACCGGCUAACUCUGUGCCAGCCGCCGCGGUAAGAC
rnacentral:rRNA from 1 species